rnacentral:rRNA from 1 species
GACGAACGCUGGCGGCGUGCCUAACACAUGCAAGUCGAACGGAAAGGUCCUGCUUUUGCGGGGUUCUCGAGUGGCGCACGGGUGUGUAACACGUGAGUAUCCUGCCCUUGACUUUGGGAUAACUUCAGGAAACUGGGGCUACUACCGGAUAGGAGCUCCUGCUGCAUGGUGGUGGUUGGACAGUUUCGGCGGUUGGGGAUGUACUCGCGGCUUAUCAGCUUGUUGGUGAGGUAGUGGCUUACCAAGGCUUUGACGGGUAGCCGGACUGGGAGGGAGACAGGCCACAGUGGGACUGGGAUGCGGGCCGGAGUGAUACGGGAGGCAGGAGUGGAGGAUAGUGCACGAUAGGCGGAAGGCUGAAGGAGGAACGCCGGAUGGGGGAUGACGGCCUUUGGGUUGGAAACCGCGUUAGCCUGUGACGAAGCGUGAGUGACGGUAAUGGGGAAAGAAGCACGGCCUAACUACGU